AGAGAAAGACGACUAAAGUUUCUUAAACUAUCUAAUCAUAUAGUUUAUUCUCAUCGCUGUUAAUUAUAAUCACAUAAAGUGGAGUCUCAUAGCUCAGCUGGUUAGAGCGCUACACUGAUAAUGUAGAGGUCGGCAGUUCAAGUCUGCCUGAGACUACUACGUUUAGUUUACAACUAAAUAAAAUGAGGAUUUUAGUAGCUGAGAUGAUUCUUAAAACUCAUUAUAUGGGGGAUUAGCUCAGCUGGCUAGAGCGCUUCGCUUGCACCGAAGAGGUCAUCGGUUCGACUCCGAUAUUCUCCACAAUCAGCUUUUUUGCUGAAAACGUUCUUUGACAUAUUGAAAAAAAUACAUGAAAUUAAAAAUUUCAAAUAAUCUAAAUUUAAUUAAUUAAUUAAUUGAGUUUACGAGCAAUAUAAUUUAUAACUCAUAAAAAUACAAAAGUUAC
rnacentral:tRNA from 1 species